rnacentral:rRNA from 1 species
GAUUAACGCUGGCGGCGUGCAUAACACAUGCAAGUCGAACGAUGAAACUUAACUGAUUUCUUCGGAAUGAUUUUAAGUGGAUUAGUGGCGGACGGGUGAGUAACGCGUGAGUAGCCUGCCUUGGAGAAGGGGAUAGCCUUUGGAAACGAAGAAUAAUACCCUAUGAUAUGAUAAUAUCUCAUGAUAUUAUCAUCAAAGAUUUAUCGCUCUAAGAUGGACUUGCGUCUGAUUAGUUAGUUGGUGAGGUAACAGCUCACCAAGGCAGCGAUCAGUAGCCGGCUUGAGAGAGUGUACGGCCACAUUGGGACUGAGACACGGCCCAGACUCCUACGGGAGGCAGCAGUGGGGAAUUUUGCACAAUGGGGGAAACCCUGAUGCAGCGACGCCGCGUGAUUUAGAAGGCCUUCGGGUUGUAAAAAUCUUUUGUAUGGGAAGAAAAUGACAGUACCAUACGAAUAAGGACCGGCUAAUUACGUG